AGGAUUAUAGUUAAAAAUAACAUUUAAUUUGCAAUUAAAAAGUACUAAUAAGUUAAUCUUU
rnacentral:tRNA from 1 species